UCAAUAUACUCUAAGAAAAGAAACCCCUCCUGCAAAGGUCAUAUCACCACGUUCUCUAAAAAAUCCCGCUUGAAACCAUAUGCUUCUGUCUUAAUUUUAAAAUUUUCAAUUUGAAUUUCAACUUCUCUAUUUUCCCUCUUCCUCUCUCUCUGCCUCUCAAAUUUUGGUUUUUUGUAGAUCUGAAAUUUGGAGACAACUAACAACUUUUUUGAUAGUGGUGUAGCAUCUUUACGCCUCAUGGUGAAAACUAAUUGUUUAUGCUCAAUGCAUUUUACAAGGCUAGCUUCACUACUUCUCCUUUUUAUCUUCUCCAUAGACUCCAUGGACACAAAUACGGGGUUUCUUUCAAAGAGCUAAGCCAUAUAUGGUUAUCAAACAAGUAUGAGACCAAGACUUGAAUUUUUUUAUUGUUACCUUUUCUGAGUCAGUGCUUGCGACUCCUCAAUGGAAUGGUGCUAUUUAAGAGACAAGGAAGUUCGAUAUAGUCGUACUAAUUAGCCCUUUUAAGGAGGCAAGCAAUGCACAUUAUAAUUCAAUAGCUGCAACUGAUGCUGGUGGAAUUGAUCUUCGAAUUCCAUAUCCAGAUGAACCAGAUUACAAGGAGAACUACUAUUUUAAUCCUAUUGACAGUAUAUUCAAGAUCAGGUUUGGAAGACUAAAUUGGCUUCAAUAGUAGGUGGAAAGACAGAGAGCAUGUGGAAGAAGACUGUUAGGCAUGAUGAAGAAGAUAAUGACCUGCUAUGGUAGAGCCAUUAAUAGGAGUAGAUGUUCAAUUCUUUAAGUACUACACUUAUUUAUGGAAAAUAUUGGCUCACUCCAAAGGAUGCUUUCUAUUUGAUCAUUAUUAGUAUACCUAUAAUUGGAUUUCUUA